rnacentral:siRNA from 1 species
AACGUCCUGCCAAACCCGUC